rnacentral:lncRNA from 1 species
AAACAAACUAUUUAUUAUAUACCAAAAUAAAUGGCAUUUAAACUUACUAGCUAAUGAAAACAGUAAAUUGCGUUCUUACAAGAUAUUUAAAUCAAAUAAUGGUACAGAAAAAUGUUUUAGUAUUACUAUGCCCGGUAAAUAUAGAAAUGCAUAAUAUUAUGCUAUAUUUAAGCAGGUGUUGCACCGAUUAAAAUUGAAACUGGCAGAUAUGAAGGUAUAGAUGUAAUUGAAAGGUUUUGUUUUAAUUGUACAAAAAUUGAUUUGAAUGUAAUUGAAGAUGAAAAACGUGUUUUAUUAGAAUGCCAAGAAUAUGCAGAUUUGCGAACGAUAAUUUUAAAAGUGUAUGUAAUAUAGUUUGUAGUUUUAGUAAUUUGACUAACGAGGAAAAGUUUUUAUGCCCCACCUACGAUAGUAGAGGGGCAUUAUGUUUUCUGGUCUGUGCGUCCGUCCGUCUGUCUGUCUGUCUGUUCGUUCGUCCGUCUGUCCCGCUUCAGGUUAAAGUUUUUGGUCAAGGUAGUUUUUGAUGAAGUUGAAGUCCAAUCAACUUGAAACUUAGUAUACAUGUGCCCUAUGAUAUGAUCUUUCUAAUUUAAAUGCCAAAUUAUAGUUUUGAUCCCAAUUUUAUGGUUCACUGAACAAAGAAAAUGAUAGUGCAAAUUUCAGGUUAAAGUUUAUGGUCAAGGUAGUUUUUGAUAAAGUAGAAGUCCAAUCAACUUGAAACUUAGUAUACAUGUUCCCUUUGAUUAGAUCAUUCUAAUUUUAAUGCCAAAUUAGAGAAUUUAUUCCAAUUUCACGGUCCACUAAACAUAGAAAAUGAUAGUGUGAGUGGGGCAUCCGUGUACUGUGGACACAUUCUUGUUAUUUAUGCUUCAUGAUGACAGAAUUUGUUAUUUUACAGCCAAAAUCUGCCAUGAAGUACUUUUUAAGAGAAAGUGUAUUUAAUACUCGUAAUAAGUGUAUAUAAUGUUGUUUGUUUUCUUUUGUAUAAUUGUUUUU